GGGAAAUGUAGUGGUUUGGAGGCAGGUGCUUUACCACCAGAACAAAAUUGGCGUCUGUCAGUGAAGGAUAAAGGGGAACAUGGAGGGGACUAGCAGUGAAUGCCAAGACUGUGUGCAUCUCACUCAGGCCAUCCAGACAGUUCUCUCCUUUCUACAGUGUUCCUUCACCUAAAGAAGAAGGAGGAGGAGGAAGGAGAAGUAGGAGGAAGAUGAAAGAAGUUUGAGAAAGUGUUACAGAAAUGCUCAACCAUCUGUACCUAUUUUCUCAAAAUAUUUUAAUCUGAUGACUUCACCUCCACAUUUAUUUCUGGACACAGGAUAAUCAUUUCAUCAGAAUUCUACAGCAAGACACACAAUGUG
rnacentral:lncRNA from 1 species